AACGAACGCUGGCGGCAUGCCUAACACAUGCAAGUCGAACGAGACCUUCGGGUCUAGUGGCGCACGGGUGCGUAACGCGUGGGAACCUGCCUUUAGGUUCGGAAUAACUCAGAGAAAUUUGAGCUAAUACCGGAUGAUGUCUUCGGACCAAAGAUUUAUCGCCUUUAGAUGGGCCCGCGUUGGUUUAGCUAGUUGGUGUGGUAAAGGCCUACCAAGGCGACGAUCCAUAGCUGGUCUGAGAGGAUGAUCAGCCACACUGGGACUGAGACACGGCCCAGACUCCUACGGGAGGCAGCAGUGGGGAAUAUUGGACAAUGGGCGAAAGCCUGAUCCAGCAAUGCCGCGUGAGUGAUGAAGGCCUGAGGGUUGUAAAGCUCUUUUACCCGAGAUGAUAAUGACAGUAUCGGGAGAAUAAGCUCCGGCUAACUCCGUG
rnacentral:rRNA from 1 species